GUGCCAGCAGCCGCGGUAAUACGUAGGUGGCAAGCGUUGUCCGGAAUUAUUGGGCGUAAAGCGCGCGCAGGCGGUUUCUUAAGUCUGAUGUGAAAGCCCCCGGCUCAACCGGGGAGGGUCAUUGGAAACUGGGAAACUUGAGUGCAGAAGAGGAGAGUGGAAUUCCACGUGUAGCGGUGAAAUGCGUAGAGAUGUGGAGGAACACCAGUGGCGAAGGCGACUCUCUGGUCUGUAACUGACGCUGAGGCGCGAAAGCGUGGGGAGCGAACAGGAUUAGAUACCCUGGUAGUCCACGCCGUAAACGAUGAGUGCUAAGUGUUAGAGGGUUUCCGCCCUUUAGUGCUGCAGCUAACGCAUUAAGCACUCCGCCUGGGGAGUACGGUCGCAAGACUGAAACUCAAAGGAAUUGACGGGGGCCCGCACAAGCGGUGGAGCAUGUGGUUUAAUUCGAAGCAACGCGAAGAACCUUACCAGGUCUUGACAUCCUUUGCCACUUCUAGAGAUAGAAGGUUCCCCUUCGGGGGACAAAGUGACAGGUGGUGCAUGGUUGUCGUCAGCUCGUGUCGUGAGAUGUUGGGUUAAGUCCCGCAACGAGCGCAACCCU
rnacentral:rRNA from 1 species